rnacentral:rRNA from 1 species
UAGGGAAUCUUGCACAAUGGGCGAAAGCCUGAUGCAGCAACGCCGCGUGAAGGAUGAAGGCCUUCGGGUUGUAAACUUCUGUUCUAAGGGAAGAAACAAAUGACGGUACCUUAGGAGCAAGCCCCGGCUAACUACGUGCCAGCAGCCGCGGUAAUACGUAGGGGGCAAGCGUUAUCCGGAAUUAUUGGGCGUAAAGAGUGCGUAGGUGGUUACCUAAGCGCAAGGUUUAAUUUAGAGGCUCAACCUCUACUUGCCUUGCGAACUGGGCUACUUGAGUGCAGGAGGGGAAAGCGGAAUUCCUAGUGUAGCGGUGAAAUGCGUAGAUAUUAGGAGGAACACCAGCGGCGAAGGCGGCUUUCUGGACUGUAACUGACACUGAGGCACGAAAGCGUGGGUAGCAAACAGGAUUAGAUACCCUGGUAGUCCACGCCGUAAACGAUGAGCACUAGGUGUUGGGCCCGUUAGGGCCCAGUGCCGCAGUUAACGCAAUAAGUGCUCCGCCUGGGGAGUACGCUCGCAAGAGUA